GACGAACGCUGGCGGCGUGCUUAACACAUGCAAGUCGAGCGGGGUCCAACCUGUCGCAAGACAGGGGAAGACCUAGCGGCGAACGGGUGAGUAACACGUGAGGAACCUGCCCCGAAGACCGGGAUAACACCGGGAAACCGGUGCUAAUACCGGAUGCCCUCAGAGAGUCGCAUGGCUCAUUGAGGAGGUGGAUUCCGCUUCGGGAGGGUCUCGCGGCCUAUCGGCCUGUUGGUGGGGUAACGGCCUACCAAGGCUCCGACGGGUAGCUGGUCUGAGAGGACGACCAGCCACACUGGGACUGAGACACGGCCCAGACUCCUACGGGAGGCAGCAGUGGGGAAUUUUGGACAAUGGGCGAAAGCCUGAUGGAGCAACGCCGCGUGAACGAUGAAGGCUUUCGGGUCGUAAAGUUCUGUUGUAAGGGAAGAACAAGUGCCGCAGGCAAUGGCGGCACCUUGACGGUACCUUGCGAGAAAGCCACGGCUAACUA
rnacentral:rRNA from 1 species